CCUAGGAAGUUCAAGAUCAGCCUGGGCAACAUGGUGAGACCCUGUUUCAACAACAACAACAACAAAAAGCCUGGCUUGGUGAUGUGAACCUGUGGUCUCAGAUAUUUGGGAGGCUGAAGUGGGAGGAUUGCUUGAGCCUGAGAGGUCAAGGUUGCAGUGAGCCAUAAUCAUACCACUGCACUCCAAUCUGGCUGAUAGAGCAAGACCCUGCCUUAAAAAAAAAAAAAAGGAAUUAUAUUUUAAAAGGCCCAAAUUGAGCUUUUAGGGAUGAAAACUACAAUGUCUGGGAUAAAAAUUAUGCUGAUGAGAUUAAUGGCAGAUUAGACAUAGCAGAAGAAAUGAUCAGUGAAUUCGAAGACAUGGACAUAGAAAUUAUUUAAGAUGAAACAGAGAGGAAAAAGGAAUUUAAAAAUGUAUUUUAAAAAGGAAAGGAAAAGAGCAUCAGUGAGCUGCUGGAUACCUUCAAGAGUGGAGAGAAAAAAAACUGUUAACCUAGAAUUGUAUUCCCAGCAAAAAUGUCUUUCAAAAACAAAGGUGCAGUUAUGGGAGCCUGAGGUGGAUGAUUGCUUAAAGCAAUCAGUUUGAAGUUGUAAUGAGCUAUUAUCGUGCCUGUGGAGAGCCACUGUACCCCAGGCUGGGCAACAUAGCAGUAUCUUGCACUUUAAAGAAACUUUUUUUUUUUUUUAAUUUAAAAAAAGGCAAACACUUUUUCAGAAUUUAUCACCACAGACCUGCACCACAAGAAAUGCCAAAGAAAGCCCUGUGGACAGAAGGUAUAUAUCUGAGAACAAAUUAUUUACAUGUACUGUAUUCAAAUUUUCAGUGGCCUUACAGAUUUCUUUUUCUUUUUCUCCUUCAUCUAUCAGUUACUGAGAGAAAUGUUUUAAAAUUCGUUACUGUGGUGGUAGAUUUGUCCAUUUAUAGCUGUGAUUUCAUGAGCUUUUGUUUUAAUUUGAGAUUAUAUUAUAUUCAGACAAGUUUAUUUUUCUGGUGAAUUGAGCCUUAUUAGUAGUGACCACACUUAAAGUUUAUUUUGUUUGAGACCGCCACACAAACUUUGUUUGGUAUUUGUAUGAUAUAUAUUUUUUCACUACUAUACUUUCAACCUUUCUGUAGUAUAUACAUACAUUUUAAAAAUCCAAUCAGAUAACCUUUGUCUUUUAAUUACAGCAUUUAGUCCACUAUGUUUAUGGUAAUGAUAAAUUGUGAACAUUCUGUUUAUUAUACAUUCUAUUUUUAUGUUGCUUCUUGCUUUUAUUUGAAGUAUCACUUUUCUCAUCUUAUUUUAAUAUUCUGCUAGUUUUGGAAGUUAUAUACAGAUUGUCCUAGACUUACGAUGGUUUGACUAAAUGAUUUUGCAACUUUACAAUGGUGCAAAAACAAUACUUUCAGCAGAAGCCAUACUUGUGCAUACCCAUGCAACCAUUCUGUUUCUCAUUUUCAAUACAGUAUUCAAUAAAUUACAUAAGCUAUUCAACACUUUAUUAUAAAACAAAUGUUAGAUGAUUUUUUCCAACUUUAGGCUAAUAUAAGCAUUUUGAGCAUGUUUAAGGUGGCCUAGAUUAAGCUGUGAUGUUUGGUAGGUUAGGUAUAUUAAAUGCGUUUUCAACUUAUGAUAUUUUUAACUUUCAAUGGAUCUAUUAUGACACAACCUCAUCAUAAGUCCAGGAGCAUCUGUACUUUAUGCUGUUUUUUAAAAUUUUAUUUUAAUUUUUUAGUGGAUACUCUCCAGGAAUUUACACCAUGUAUCCUUAAUUUAUUAAAGUCUAUAGUUAAUCAUAUUUACCCUUUUCCCAAACUGGAACCUAAAAAUAAUUAAAUUCCAUUUUAGACCAUACACUCCUUUCUAAAAGGUGGCAUCUGCUGCUGAGUUCUGGUCCAAGACUGCCAAUCAAAAAUGCAGGCUCAGAAGGGUCUAUUACAUCCUUGGAUUUUUAAGUGUUGACCAGAAAUGUGUGAGCAAAACAAAAAUAUGUUGACAGUUCGGCAGUUAUAAGCCUCUUUUAGGCCUAAGAAAGAGAAUAUUUUAUGAUGGCUUUCCCCAGUAGUGGUUGCUACUGUUAUCAUGCAGAAAGCCUAACUGUACUUCCUGUCACAUGUGGGGUGCUUUCUCCCCUGUUAAAUAAGAGAAGUAAAAACUUCUAGUAGCCUCAGCUUGCCACUUCAGAAAAUUAUACCAUGUAUCCUUAACUUAUUAAUGUCUAAAGUUAAUCAUUUUUUUUAACCUCAUCCUAAACAAGGACAUAAAAACUCUUCAAUUCCAAUCUCCCAUGGAGGAGUACAAGCCCCUUCUAAGGUGGCAGCAGUGAGUUAGUUUCAGUCCACCAUUGACAACCAGGAAUGUAAGCCCAGUACUUGAUAUAAAAUCUCCUGUUUUGUUUUGCCUUUGUCUUUGUCAAUGUGUUGUUGGCCAAAUGAAUUGUUUGCAAACCAGAAAUGGCUGGCAAUCAACCAGUUUUUAGCUUUUGCUAGGAGCAAGUAGAAUUAAUUAUGAUAUCCAUCUAUUUACUUCAUUCAUUCAUUUAAUAAAUGUUUGUUGAGCCCCCACAACUGUCCUGCAAUUGUCCUGUAAUCCUUUGUUUUGUUUUAACUACUUGAUGAAGAGUGCCCCCAAAUGUUUGACAGAUUGUCUUUAGAGGAAACUGUCUUCAUUCCAGGGCUUAAAGAAUUUCCCAGGAGAGAAGUUAACAUAUCACCAUCUGGUUCUAUCAGAUUUACCAUAAUAUUUACCAUUUUCUUGUUCCCUACCUCUUAAAUUUAAGUUCUUCUGUCUGGGUUGACUUUCCUACCUGAAGUACAUCCUUUAUAAUGUUCUUCAGUAGGAGUUUUCAGAUUACAGAUUUUAAACCUUUGCUUGUUUGAAAAUCCUUUAAGUUCUCAUUGUGGAAAUUUUCUGAGUAUAGAAAUGUAGAUUGAACAGUAGUUUUUUUUCAGCUUAUUGAAAUACCAUUUACUUUAUUCUCACUUCUAUAUCGAUUGCUAAGAAGACAGCUGUCCAUCUAAUUGAGCUGCUUUCUCUUAGGCUGCAUUUAAGACCUUUUGGUCAUCUGUGCUCUGUAGAUGCUUAAUGAUAUGUUUAGGUAUGGAUUUCUGUUUAUUAUUCUGUUUGAGUUAUUAAAGCUUUUGAAUCUGUCAAAUGGUGACUUUCUGGAACAUUCACAGCCACUAUGUAUUCAAAUACAGCUUCUGCUCCAUUUUUUUCUUUUUAAAACUAAGUUCAUGUUAGACUUUUUUUACUGUAUCCUCUAUGACUCUUAACCUUUUUUUCUUAUUCACUCUGGGAUAUAUAUUCUGCAUAACUUAAUUGUUUUGAUAUGUUCUCUUUAGCUAUAUUGAAUCUGCUGUUAACUGUAUCCACAAAAUUUUAAAAAUUUACAAUUAUUACAUUUUUCAUUGUAGAUGUUCUCCUUUUUUCUUCAACUUCAUAAUUUACUCAUUAUCAAGCUUGUCUUUUAUUUAUUGAAGCAUAUUAAGCAAAAUUAUUUUAUGUCUGAAUAUGCCAAUGUCUAAAGUUUUCUCAGGUUCAUUCUGCUAUCUGUGGUUUCUGCAAUCAAAUGCUUUACC